AACUGCCAUGACAUUCACUCACCUUCGAAAAAGACGCCAACAGACCCUUGAUUGAUGGACGACGCCGACCAGACGACGGCAAGAAGAUGAAGCCGACGGCAAAAAGAUGCAAAGAGUAGGGGAUGGGGCGAGCUCGCGGAAGAAGAGAGCAGGGGAGUUGGAGACUUGGGGGCAGUGGCUCGAUGGAGAGGCGACAGUGGGUCGAAAAGAGUAGCUAGGGUUGGAUAAGGGAGAGUGAAUGAUUCGGGCAAGCAGAGCAUAGGCUGAAAGGAGUGAGAACUGAGAAGUGAAGUGACAAUGGAGGCUGAGCCA